UGUAAUCCAAGUUUCUAAGAUUUCGAAUUUCACUGUAAAAAAGAGAGGAACAUUAAUAAUUAAUAUUUAAUUACUUAUCCCAACAGAAAUCAGAAAUGUUAAAAUGAAUUUUCAGGGACUUAACUCCUGCAACAAGCUUUUUGUACUAGCCAAUGCUAGCCCAAGACCACUAUGCAUUCUGAGCAAUCUUACAGUGAUGCAUUAUCAUCUGGAUAGAUGCCAUCCUGGAGACUGGCUACUUGAAGCAAGGGGGUAAGAAGCACCUGAGAUUUGAUUAUGGAUCCUUUGUCUGCGUGGUCCUAAAAUCAAAACAAUACCCUGUGUUAAUGGCUAUUACUUUGAACACAGUGAGUGUUUUGUGACUGCAAAGUUGAAUAAAAAGAAAAGUUAGGUAAAACUUUCAGUAUUUAUGUAUAAUAAUCCUAUCAAAUUACAAUGACCUGUAUCGCUUAUAAUUUUAUGUUCUAUUUUUCUGGUUACUUUCUCCAUGUGUCUAACAGUAUUUUGUAUUAUAUUUCCUUUUUGUUUUUCAGAACUCAUCAAAAGAUGGCUCAGGUCACUUAAAUUAACUUUGUUCUGAGACUUGAAAUGCACACACUAUUCGCUGUAUAGCCAUAUCCAGCAGUUUAGAAGAUAGUGUACCUCUGCUAUAUAAUGACACAAAACAUAACAUGGGCUUCAUUCCUUACAUCUUCUGCCCAUGGUUAUGUCUUUAAAUACUUCUACCCAGGCAACAGCUUGGUGUACAAGUAGCUUUUUAGUCUGCACAUGUUGAAAAACCAGUCUGACACUAGUCACAGCUAUGGCCAUGAUGGGUGCUUUCCAUAGGUGUUUUGAUGGGGCUGCUGCCCCUCCAGCCAUCAGGAUCAUUGCCUGGAGUCAUGACUCUUCCCCAUUUCUCUGAAAUGCUUGUCUCUUCCCUUAAUGUAAUUUCCCUCAAUCAUUCUAAUUCCUCUAUUUUCUAGCAGAUUUCUUUCUUUUCUAUCCACAAUGACAGUUAGCAGUCUGCCUGCACCAAUCAGACUGUGCCAAAAUUCCCUGUCUAGACUCAGUAGAGCUACUGAAUUUUCAUCUUUUAUUAAAAAAGUCACACAUACCCUCCCCCAUCGCAUGCAGACUUUUAAUUUCCUGGCCUCUUUACUGUCUCCAGAAGAAUAUGUACAUUUAUGCAUAUUUUUUUCUAUUUCUUUACCUUAAGCCAGCUCUGGACACUGGUCUCAUAACACUGCUGGAACAACACUCAGUCUUUCUAAUUAUAGAAACCAUAUAGAAAGAAUGGUGCCAGUCUUCUUCCUGAUGCUAGCAGUGAAGCAAUAGGCUGAAGAAAGCACUUCUGCCUACAUAUAUAGAGAAAUUUGAUGAAGAUGACAGACAAACUAUUUAUGUUAUUUCAUCUGCAUGCACUUGUCCAGCCUUUGCACCACUGGCACCAGAAAACGGGCUUAGGCUAUUCCAACAGUCUAUUCCCUGCCUCCAGACUGCGGAUUUUAACAAGAUUUUUCUGCACAACACUUAUCCCUGUGCCCUGAAAUUCACUGCAGAGCUGUAUCCCACGGCCUGGCAUCACAAGCUGUCCAAGGGAAGUGCAACCCUGGCCUGGAGGAUGGUGGGGCUGCCCUGCCCUUGGCUCCAUCUCACUGCAGCUCACUGCAGAGCUGGAGAGUGGUCCCCCACCAGCUCUCCAAAUGACGUCAUAUACGUGAGGGCAAACCACUUGAACCAUAACCUUUGUGCCUCUUCCCAAAUGCUGAGAGAGCUUUUUAUGUGGUUGUAUAAGAGGAGAAUACUUUUCAAGUGAGGAGAAGAGAGUAGGGAGAGAUCAGAGAAGAGUGAGCAGAGAUACAGAGAAGAGAGGAAAAGAAAGAGUGAAUUUUUCUGGGGUUCCUUUCACAGGAAUGUUUCCCUGAGAAAUAAAGACCUAAUUACAAAACGUUUUUAUUUAGUGUGAUGCUACCAAGCUGCAGCUCUACUAGUAAAACAUCCACACAGAAAUAUUGACUCCUAAUCAGACACUUUCACAAUUACAUCUAGAAAAAAUAAAUACUUAUGUAAUUGUGCGGGAAAGACAGUUCUGAAUUUGUAAGCAGGUUUAAGUUUGACUUACAGACAUACUUAAGAAACCAGAAACCAUUGUGAGAUCAAUUUAACACAACUGGGGAAAAAACCCAAAACAUCAAAAUCUUGUGCCUUAUUUACAUCUUCAUAGUGUGGGACUUUUGCCAUUACUUACAACUGAAAUAAGAUCUGGCUCAUUAAAAUACAGCAUGUGAUCAGUAUCCUUAGUUUGCAGAAGUUGCUCAGUACUUGAAAGGCAUAGAUUCAUAAAAAUAUGACCUAUACUUAAAGAGAGCUGAAGUCUGGAAGGAAAAGAAAAUCAGGACAGAGGCACAUGAACUAAAUAAGGACCAAGAAAAUGAAUUGCUGAAGAUCAAGGCAGAAGCACACUACUAAACUUGGCAGACAGGGAUCAUGACGAACACAGGUUGCCUAUUCACAUAACACUUGACUCAAGCCAAAGCAAUUAGUUCCUCCCUUCCACAAACACUAAAUUUUCUCCUAAGAAGUUCUUAUAUUUAAAAACAAAUGUUUUUAAAAUGAAACCCUGUGUAUAAGUUUAAAUUAGGGUUAAAAGAUUAUUUUUAUUUACGUAAAAUUGCACUUUAGGAAAGUUCAAUGAAAAACAAGCUGUAAAAAUGGAACUCUGUGAAAUGACUUUUCAAAACUGUUAGGGUAACCUCAAUCUCCUUUAAAACACCUUGAUAACCCAGUAUUAUUUCAGCAAUAAUACUUUGAAAAUACUAUGUAAAUGGAGAACAUUAAUCAAAUGCAUAGCACAACAUAUAAAUUUAGCCCCAUAUAGUUCUGUUGUUUGGAAAGUAAAUCCAACAGUGAUAAGUGUUAACAAAUCAGGAGUUAUGGAAGCAAUUCAUAAAAAUGAUCAUAUUUAUAAAUUGUUUUCUAUCGCAUCUUAUAUGCAACCAUCUAAGUUACCAGAUGCCUGGAUAUUCCCUGAUUAAAUGAUAAAUGUUUUCCAAAACAUAUUUUAAAAACCUGGUAAGCACUUUUGAGUGGUAGAGCCCUUCUUUGUGGGCUAUCUGCAAAUCCUGGGGGUUUGCCUAUGACUUUUGUGAAUUCUGAUGUAGUUCUGGGUAGUUUGACUC